rnacentral:misc_RNA from 1 species
UGUUUGUUUACAAAUUUAAAUCCCAGAGUUGUUGAGGGAGAGCUGCACCACGGCGCCUCCCCAUACACCUCCUCUCUUGUCUCCCUGGCACUCUCACACGCUCUCUCCUUACACUGGCACUCUCCACGACUACUCUAGCACUCUUUAAGGUCCAUCUAGUGGGUGGCGGCGGAGGCGGUACCUCAUCAGCUGAUCCGUGUCGUCUGCUGCUCAGUCGACAGGCAGCCGUGGGAGGUGGCGGUGUUGCUCACUCACUCUCCACCAGUCAGACACUUCCAACUGCUGUUGGCCAUGAGUUCUGGGGGGUUAUAAUGCGAGGUAUUAAGCGACUCCACGUGCCAUCUGGGACUGUGUUAGUGCUCUAAGAUAAAGAGGUGGGAGGCAGUACUCGAGGGAGGGAGUGUGAGAGAGCAGAGUAAGACUUUGAAGGGUCUGGCUGGUCCGCCAACACAUUGCUGACCGGAUCCGCGACCUGACGUUAACCACCACACCAUGAACGGGGAAAUGGCGAACUUUUCCACGAGCGAGGAGGAGGCAGCUUACUGGAGAAAGAAGGCCCUGGAGUACAAGCAGAGUCUGGAGGAGACACGGGAGGAACUGGAGGAGUUCCAGAGUGGGAGCCGGGAGCUGGAGGCUGAGCUGGAGGCUCAGCUAGAGCAGACGGAGACUCGUUGCUCCGAGUACCAGUCACAACUCAACCGCCUCGCCCUCGAGAAUGACUCCCUAAAGGAAAGACUCGAGCGACUACACAAUGAAUUCAAUGGGCAGGUUAAUACUUUACAAAUUGAAUUGACUGACAUAAAAAAUAUAAAAGAGGACCUAACACGAUACAUCAGGGAACUAGAACAAACUAAUGAUGAUCUAGAAAGAGCUAAAAGAGCCACAGUAACGUCAUUAGAGGACUUUGAGGCUCGGCUUAAUUUAGCCAUAGAACGCAAUGCCUUCUUGGAAUCGGAACUGGAUGAAAAGGAGGAUCUGAAGGUGACGGUACAGCGGCUGAAGGAUGAGGCACGAGAUCUUCGGCAAGAGCUGAGUGUAAAAGAAAAAGACGAACCAGGGCCAGACAACGAUAAGGCUUUGCAACAGCAUCAGCAUCAUAAAUUACACCUUCAGCCACCUCCAAAACAGGAAUCAUUAACUACUACUGAGGAAACAAUAGACUCCAAUAAACUUUUAUCGAACACACAGCUUCCGGAGUCUGUUUCAACCACUCCUGUAAUAUCACAUCCCUUGCACAGUCUGAAUAAUGGAAAUGUGCCUAUGACUCCAUCAGCUAGGAUAUCUGCCCUCAACAUUGUUGGUGACCUUUUAAGAAAAGUUGGGAAUUUCAGAACACUGGGUUGUCUAGGUGCAAUAUUAGACUUCAGUGUUGCUAGUUGUUUAGGACAAGAAGAAAUUGUCUCAGGCUUAUAAUCCCUACAUUCAACAACUGAUUGAAAAUGACAUUAAGCAGGCGUAUGGUCAAAUAUAUCGAUGGCACUGGAGUCGCGCCUUGCCUCGUGUCGUACACUCGUGAAGGACAACCAACGCCCCCUCAGCCUGCCACCACCCGGCAACCACUCUGCCAGACAGAAGCAGCUGACAUAC